UUAGAGUUUGAUCAUGGCUCAGAUUGAACGCUGGCGGCGUGCCUAAUAUAUGCAAGUCGAGCGGUAACAGGCGUAGCAAUACGUGCUGACGAGCGGCGAACGGGUGAGCAAUGCUUCGGAAUCUGCCCAAUGGUGGGGAAUAACCAGUCGAAAGAUUGGCUAAUACCGCAUACGCCCUAACGGGGAAAGCGGGGGUCGCAAGACCUCGCGCCGAUGGAUGAGCCGAAGUCGGAUUAGCUUGUUGGUAGGGUAACGGCCUACCAAGGCGACGAUCCGUAGCUGGUCUGAGAGGACGACCAGCCACACUGGGACUGAGACACGAGCUAGACUCCUACGGGAGGCAGCAGUGGGGAAUAUUGGACAAUGGGGGCAACCCUGAUCCAGCGACGCCGCGUGUGUGAAGAAGGCCUGCGGGUUGUAAAGCACUUUUAGUGGGGAUGAAAAGUAUAUUGCUAAUACCAGUGUGUCUUGACCUAACCCAAAGAAAAAGCACCGGCUAACUCUGUGCCAGCAGCCGCGGUAAUACAGAGGGUGCGAGCGUUAAUCGGAAUUACUGGGCGUAAAGCGUGCGUAGACGGUUAUUUAAGUCGGGUGUGAAAGCCCCGGGCUCAACCUGGGAAUUGCAUUCGAGACUGAAUAGCUUGGGUACGGUAGAGGGAAGUGGAAUUUCCGGUGUAGCGGUGAAAUGCGUAGAUAUCGGAAGGAACAUCAGUGGCGAAAGCGACUUCCUGGACCAGUACCGACGUUCAGGCACGAAAGCGUGGGGAGCAAACAGGAUUAGAUACCCUGGUAGUCCACGCCCUAAACGAUGUCGACUAGGUGUUGGGGAAGGAGACUUCCUUAGUACCGCAGCUUAC
rnacentral:rRNA from 1 species